GCCUUUGACAUAAUAUCGACAUAUACGUUGUAAGUAAAACCUUGAUUAUUUGACAGAGUUUGUAUCUUGCUUGAAAUUCAAUCUACGAUGAAUUUUGAAAUUGUGUUGUUGUUGAUAUUUGGAUAUAUGUCGCCCAUUUAAUUAAUUCAGAGGUCGAAAUAAGAUAUUUCGUUCUUCCCAAGAAAAAAGGUCAAGCUGAACUGACACUUAACAGUUUUGUUGGACAAAAUUUUAGCAGGAUAUGCCUACCCUUCCGGAGAACCUGAGACCACCCUCAGUUUUUUUCUUUUUUUUGUCUGUCUUUUUCUUUUUUUGCCAUGUCGUUGUCAGUUUAUUUCUGGUCUACGAACAAGAAUGUCCCUCUGGUAUCUUUCAUCCUCUUUUCUUUGACAAGCUUAGUGUAUUCAAAUUUAUUAUAGAAUGAGUAAUAUGUAAACGUUUUGUUUUAUAUUUCUGUUUAACAUAUUAGAUAAUAGUUCUUAUCUAAAACUUAUAUCAGGAGAAAUCCACAGUUUAUAGCCUUUCAAUAUCGUCAUUAUCAUGAUAAUUUCUUGGACUAGUAUUGUGAAAAUAAUUGUUAAUAUUCUAGCUCAUUCCAUUCAAUUGUAUGAAGUUAAAUAUAAUAUAUUCGUCACAAAAAUACGUCGAUGUUUGUGGAGUCCCAUGCUGUCAUUAAUGAAAGAUGUUCAAUGUUGCUCUACAUGUCAAAUGUAUACUUUCAUAUCCCUUAUUCAUUCCUUUCUCUGUGUUGAGUGUUCUUUCGUUUGUUUUUCUGUAUUACUUUUAUUAUAUGUAGUAUUGUCAUAUUUGUUUAUUACAGAAGUGGAGUUUUAAAAACCCAUAAAACCAGGUGCAUCCCACUAUUGUUUCUUUAUAUGUGUGUACCAAGUCAGGAAUAUCGCAGUUGUUAUCAAAAAGACCGUUUCUAUGUAUGUUGGCGUUAGCUUUUAUUGCACUUUGAAAUAAGUGUUUCAUUGUUUUCCAUUUUUUCCUGUUGAAGAUCAUGUGUUUCCUUAGGUUUUAAUGAGUAAAGCCUCGGUCAAAUCUAACGAAUAGUUCGAUCGAAUGACUACCGGAUAAAAAAAAUUUUAAUCCGUUCAUGUCCGUUAGAGGUCCUUUCUUAUCCGUAAGAAAUCCGUUCAUAUCCGUUUUAUGUCUGUUUAGCGUACGUUUUAUCCGUCGACGUCCGUUCUGUCCGGCGGAAAAUUUUGAGCAUGUUCAAAACUUGGAACCGACGUCCAAUGGAUGAAGUGUCCGUUGAACGUCUGGUAGGCGUCUGUUUUCAAGGUACUCGUCCGUCCGUCUUGUUUCCACUUUGUAUCCGUUACUUGUCCGUUAUACAUCCGAUGGAGGUCUUGUAGAAAAAUUCACCAACGGACUUUUACCGGACGUUAAAUGUAUGAAACGGAUGUUUAACGAAUGUGAAACCGACUUCUACACGACGUAUAACGGAUAAAACGGAUGAUGAAAAAGUAAAAUCACAAAAAUACUGAACUUAGAGGAAAAUCUAAUCGGAAAGAUUAUAAUCACAUUGUAAAAUCAAAUAACAAAACAUAUAAAAGCGAAUGAACAAGAACUGUCAUAUUCCUGACGUGGCACAGACAUUUUUGAAUGUAGAAAAUGGUGGAUUAAACCUGGUUUUAUAGCGCUAAUUAUAACCCUCUCACUUUGAUGACAGUCUCAUCAAAUUCCGUUAUAUUUACAAUGAUGUGUGAACUAAACAGGCAUAAUAAAUUAAAUAGUCAAAAUAUGGAUACAGCAGUCAUCAUCGUGUAACAAUUUUAAAAGGAACAAUUUAACAGAACACAAUAAAAGUGAUGAACGGAUCUGAAACGGAUAAAUGCCAAUUGAAAAUUUUGCUUCAGGAAUGCCAAUUAUUGGUAUGUCAGAUUUUUUUUGAGGUUCGUGAAUUCUUUUUAUUCAUAAUCGAUCUUAAAGUAAGGGCACGUCUUCACUAUCAAUCAGCUCUUAUUCAGGCCAGACACUGCCCUUUUACAACAUUUUGAAGAACAAACUAAGAGCAGUUACAAAGAAGCAUUUUAAAUAUUUAUGCGUUUUACAUGUAUUUUUAUUGGCGCUUUUAGUUAUUUCGUAUAUCUUAUUCAUCUGUUUUAUCCAGUACGCCUCCGUUAGGUGUCAGUUUUAUGCAGUUCACGUCCGUUGGAUGUACGUUCAACAUCCGUCAUGUCUGGUACGUUUCCGUUUCUCGAACGUUGCAUAUCCGAUGUGUGUCCGUUUACAUUCGAUACGCAUACGUUUUAUUAGGUCAGUAUAUCAAUGGAAUCCCAACGGAUAACAAUUUUGUCAACGGACAACUUUUAUUUUCGUCCGUUAGGCGUCCGAUCUAACAUCCAGUAAGGUGUGACCGAGGCUUAACACGUUUUUUUUUCUAUCGUCAAUUUUAUUGAUGUUGAAUAGUGAUACACUGAUGUUGGCAUAUAUUUAUUACCAAUGUUAUUUCAAUUGAUCGGGCGGAGCUUAAAUUUUAAUUUGCAUAAGGACAGUCUAUGUGAAGAUAUGUGUGAUAAGGAUGAUUUCCGUUAUAAUUAUUAUUGAUUUCUAAUCAUCUAUCAGUUUCGACUAACGAAUUUACUUCAAAGAUGAGUGCAUGAUCGAUAUUGGAGGCAAAGAACAAAAUAAAAAUAAAAAAAUAUUUAUAAGUGCUAUAGCUUAGUAUUUUAAAGUAUUGGCUCUGGUAUUAUUCUAUUUAAAUAUUUCUAAUUGUGAGACAAAAUUAUAAAAAAUAUGUUAAAAAUAAGAUAUUUACACUUUUUUUCCCUUCCUUAUAUAUAAUCAUAAUACAAGCUUUAAAAAAAAAGAAAUGCGUUAUAGUAUUACAAAAUAUGCAUAUUUUGCAACUGCCGUUGUCACAGUUAUACUUUAAUUUCCACAAUUUAUUAAAUGUAACACUUAAUUAUAACAUGUUUAUAAACUCCGAAAGAGUGUUUACGUUUUUUAACCGGAUCAAUGACCAUGACUUCACUACAUGACUAUCCACUUCAUUGAUGAGUUUAUUCCAAAACACCUAUCUAUAGAUAGACUGGUCUGUGAAGAGCGAACCGUUUAAACUCCGCUCAGUCAAGUGAAAUAAAUCAAGUAAUAAUACUAGUUCAAAUCAACGAAUAAUGAUUUUAUUUAUAUAUCAUUUUAUUCUGGUAUCACCUAAGUUGGACAAAGGUAUACAGAAAAACACAUUAGUUUACAUUACAUUGAUAAAGAGAAACUAGGCUAGGUGUUUUGUAUUUAUUUAACUACUUCGUAGAUUGUAAUUGUUUGUCUCCAACGAGAUGCAGGUAUUGAAUCGUAUAAGUAUUUGAGAACACCCCUUAUAUUGUAAAAUAGAUUCUUUUUUACUUCUCGUCUAAUUUGUAACAUCCUGUUUGUAAAUAGAGUGAAUGAGUGCUUGUUAGACAAGUGACAAUACGUGUUGAUUUCAGCUGUGAUUUGUCUGAUCUUACAGAAUUUAAUUGUCCACUUUGAUUAAAAACUUCAGAUAAAUAUUUUAGAAUGAAAAUAACAAAAGAUAGAUAUCAGUUUUUGUUAGUUGUUUCCUUUUCAACCAGGUUUUCAAUCGUCUAUUAACAUUUAAUUGUUUUGAUACUUUUUUUAUAAGUGUCUCUUGAUUUCAUGCACCGACUUUCAUACGAAUUAAAAUUAAGAAUGGAAAUGGUGAAUGUGUCAAAGAGUCAACAACACGACCAAAGAGAAGAAAACUGCCAAUGGCCAUCAAUGGGUUAAAAAUACAGCGAGAAAAUCCCGCAGCCGGAGGCGUGCUUCAGUUAACCCCUAAACAAAAAUGUGUACUAGUUCAGUAAUAAUGGACAUCCAACUUAACUCAAAAUUAUAAAAAUGAACUAAAAUUACAUAUCAUACCAGAUGUCUUGACUUGGCACAGGCACAAAAAUGCGGCGGGGUUAAACAUGUUUUUGAGAUAUCAACCAUCCCCCUAUACCUAUUAACAAUGUAAAAAAACAAACACGCAGCAAUACACACAGUAACAUUCAGUUAAAAUAAGUCCGAUGUCAGAAUAGGUCACAAAAGAAACAAAAUGACUUACAUGCGGCAAAGCUUAGCGAAAGGUAGUACGACGUAAUCAGUCAAACAAACCUUAUUAGAUUAACUCGUAAAGGAACGGUCUGCAUUGGUCAAUUUGUGCCAAAUACGGUUAAGGUAAUCUAUGCCUGGGAUAAGAAAUCCUUAGUUUUCCGAAAAAUUCAAAAUUUGGUAAACAGGAAAUUUAUAAAAAUGACCACAUUAUUGAUAUCAUGUAACACGGAGUGCUGACUACUGGGCUGGUGAUACCCUCGGGCACGAAACGUCCACCAGCAGUGACAUCGACCCAGUGGUGUAAAAGAACAUUUUGUUCUUUCUUUAUUUUGUUGUAAUCUCUGUAGGUGUCUUUUUAUUUUUAAGUCUAUGUGUUCCUGUCUUUUUUUUUAAAUUAGUUUGUUCGGUUUUUGUUUUACUGAAUUCGUCACCCGGACCAUUUUGCCAAAUAUUAUCCUGCCGUUUUAUAUCUUUCGCAAGUUUUAAGAAUUCGACUAAGAAUAGUAUGAUUUUUUUCUGAUUCAGUUUACUUAAUUUUGAAAAUAAAUCCUGAAAUUCUAAGUAAAUUCAGAACAUGUAACCAACCAUACUUUGUUUAGAGAAAAAUGGAGAUGUCAAACCAUGGCGCAGUGGAAGGAAAUGUACUUUAUAAACUCCAGUGAUAUACUUAAUGAAUUUUGAAAUUAACUGGUUUCCUAACCAGUUAGGUUGAAAAACGAACGUUAAUCAUGUUAGUUAUCUAUUGUAAAUAUUUAAAUACUUACAUAUAAAACAAUCAGUUUUUAAAAGCUUGUUUAUUCAUUAAAUGUAUUAAUACAAAGAUGGGUUCCUUCUUAUACAUGCAUUCAGUCUGAGUCAUCCUUAUUAAUAAUUUCUUUAUAUUUCGUUUAUCAGUUUAUUUUUCAUGUAUGAUUUUGUAUUUCAAAUAUGCAUGCAUGCAAAACGUCACUUUGGCGGAUAGUUCAACAAUGUUAUGCAAAUCACUAUGCUUACGGUAUGAAAUUAAAAGAUAAGUUGUCAGCCAAUUUAAAUCGACGACAGUGCAUUUAUAUUGUUCCUUAUAAACUACGAUAUUUCUCAAUGGUAUUUAUUUAUAUUUUUAGUUCUACAUAUACAAAAGAAAAAAUCUUUUGAAAAAUAAACAGUCCUUUUUUAAAUGUUUACACCAACAUGACUUUAUUGAAUUCAUUUGAAUUUCGUGGUGACCAUAAUAGUACAUUGCAUACUACGUCUUCAUUCCCGUGUACAAAUGAUACGGUUGUUCUGUUUCUAUAUUUCGGAUACAAUUUGCUCCGUUUAUGAUACGUAAUUUCUGAAUGACCAAACACUUAGCUACUGUGUAACGUUCUGUAUGUUCGUUUUAUAGCAUGAAAACACUAAACGGGGAAUAUGCAACCCAUCAUAAAUUAUUGUAAUGGAUCAGUAUUAUGAGAUUCUAAUUUUAAGUAACUACGACAUUGAAAGAAAUAUUUUUCAUAAUGCGGUAAAAGAUAAUUAUGCUGCUGCAGUAUAAUGUUUCGCCACAACUAUUUGAAAUUUACAAAAUAUUCAUUUAAUUCUUUUGACCAAUUAUUUGUAAACUAAAUUGUCAAAUCCUUGUUUUUGCGAGUAACAUAGUACAUUCCAUACUCAGUCACCUGUGUCAAUUCACGUGCACACUACAAUUGUUGUUGUAAUUGAUUCUUUCGGCCAAUAAAAUGAGACGUUACAAGUUAAAAUUGAGAAUGGAAAUGGGGAAUGUGUCAAAGAGACAACAACCCGACCAAAUAAAAAACAACAGCAGAAGGUCCACAGGUUUCAAUGUAGGAGAAAUUCGCCCGGAGGGUCUUCAGUGCCCUAACAUAUAUAUAUCAGUUAGUGAUAAUGAACGCAUACUAUUUUCAUUGUACACAAGAAACUAAAAUUAAAAUAAUACAAGACUAACAAAGGCCAGAGGCUCCUGACUUGGGACAGGCGCAAAAAUGCAGUUUGUUUGUUUGUGAUACGCUUGAAUGUUAUCUAUGAACUAUCAAACGCUAAAGUUGAUGCAUUUCAGUGUAAACAUGUACAUAAAUUAACAAAAGACGUACUAGCAGUUACGUCCAUGCCAGUUCCAGAACUUAAUUUAAAAGAAUGGAAGAUUAUGUCUUCAUCAAAUGAAUAUCAACCACAAUCCAUCCCGUAAGGAGUUUAGUAUAUUACCAUUAUAAAAAAUAUGGGAAGAACAUAACCCGUAUCAUGCCAACAACUGAUUUUAAAAUGAAUGUGUUUAUUUCCGAUACGAGACCCUAUAAGUGAAUGAACAUUAAAGCCAAAAUAUCUUAAAUGACCUGAUAUAACAUUUUUAUAAGAUAUCUUUAGUGUUAUCCUGCAAACCGUUUACGAUUACUUAAUGCGCAAACAUUUUUACAAACCAAAUACAUAACUGCAUGCUUCUAAAACUAUUUCCCUAGAUUGCCAAGGAAAAGAUUGCUGUCUUAUGAUGUAAAAAAUGGAUGACAAUCUAUAAAAGCACAUGAUGUGAAAAAAACAGGCCUGAUUACCAUCAGACAAUGGAAGAAGAACCUUCGACAUCAAGUGGCAUAAAACGUUCUAUCCCACAAGAGUUACAAGAUGAAAUCGAUGAGAUAGUUUCAAAACGUCCACGAGCAAC
rnacentral:lncRNA from 1 species